rnacentral:rRNA from 1 species
AAACCAACUGGGAUUACCUUAGUAACGGCGAGUGAAGCGGUAAAAGCUCAAAUUUGAAAUCUGGUACUUUCAGUGCCCGAGUUGUAAUUUGUAGAAUUUGUCUUUGAUUAGGUCCUUGUCUAUGUUCCUUGGAACAGGACGUCAUAGAGGGUGAGAAUCCCGUUUGGCGAGGAUACCUUUUCUCUGUAAGACUUUUUCGAAGAGUCGAGUUGUUUGGGAAUGCAGCUCAAAGUGGGUGGUAAAUUCCAUCUAAAGCUAAAUAUUGGCGAGAGACCGAUAGCGAACAAGUACAGUGAUGGAAAGAUGAAAAGAACUUUGAAAAGAGAGUGAAAAAGUACGUGAAAUUGUUGAAAGGGAAGGGCAUUUGAUCAGACAUGGUGUUUUUUGCAUGCACUCGCCUCUCGUGGGCUUGGGCCUCUCAAAAAUUUCACUGGGCCAACAUCAAUUCUGGCAGUAGGAUAAAUCAUUAAGAAUGUAGCUACCUCGGUAGUGUUAUAGCUUAUUGGAAUACUGCUAGCUGGGAUUGAGGACUGCGCUUCGGCAAGGAUGUUGGCAUAAUGGUUAAAUGCCGCC